AUAGUUAUUACUGGUUAUUGCUAGGUGUGUUUGGUGUUAUGUAUGAAGGAUAUUUAACUAAUGCUGAAGAUGAUGUUGAAGGAGCAAUACCAGUAAUAAUUAAAACUGUUAAAGAUAAUACUCCUGAUAUUGUUGUAAAGUCGUUAUUGGAGGGCGGGGCUGCUACAAGGGGUGUGAUUCAUCGUCAUUUAUUACCUCUAAUUGGUGCCCAUGCUUCAGAUCUAGAACAACCAAUGUUACUCUAUCCCAAAUCUUCAUUUGGUACUUUAAAAACUUUAUUACU